rnacentral:rRNA from 1 species
UGAGUAAUACAUCGGAACGUAUCCAGUAGCGGGGGAUAACCUCUCGAAAGAGAGGCUAAUACCGCAUACGACCUACGGGUGAAAGAGGGGGAUCGCAAGACCUCUCACUAUUGGAGCGGCCGAUGUCGGAUUAGCUAGUUGGCGGGGUAAAAGCCCACCAAGGCUACGAUCCGUAGCUGGUCUGAGAGGACGACCAGCCACACUGGAACUGAGACACGGUCCAGACUCCUACGGGAGGCAGCAGUGGGGAAUUUUGGACAAUGGGCGCAAGCCUGAUCCAGCCAUGCCGCGUGAGUGAAGAAGGCCUUCGGGUUGUAAAGCUCUUUCGGCGGGGACGAAAAGGUCCGUGUUAACACCACGGAUCCAUGACGGUACCCGCAGAAGAAGCACCGGCUAACUACGUGCCAGCAGCCGCGGUAAUACGUAGGGUGCAGGCGUUAAUCGGAAUUACUGGGCGUAAAGCGUGCGCAGGCGGUUUGCUAAGACAGGUGUGAAAUCCCCGGGCUUAACCUGGGAACUGCGCUUGUAACUGGCAAGCUAGAGUGUGGCAGAGGGGGGUGGAAUUCCACGUGUAGCAGUGAAAUGCGUAGAGAUGUGGAGGAACACCGAUGGCGAAGGCAGCCCCCUGGGCUAACACUGACGCUCAUGCACGAAAGCGUGGGGAGCAAACAGGAUUAGAUACCCUGGUAGUCCACGCCCUAAACUAUGUCAACUGGUUGUCGGGGAAGCAAUUCCUUGGUAACGAAGCUAACGCGUGAAGUUGACCGCCUGGGGAGUACGGCCGCAAGGUUAAAACUCA